GCCGACAAAGCCAAGCUGAAGGAGCGUUACGUACGUGAGAUGCUGGGAGCCCUGACAUCGUCAGGGUUGGUGCAGCUUGCGGAGGGUACAGGAGGGACAGGAGGCGGCCUACCUGGUGGCCCCGGAGCACCAGCGGGUCCUGAAGAAGGUGGCAUGUGACGCCCUCAUCAUCUCCGAUGUGGCCAGACAGUUCUCCAGCGUCAAGCCGUGCGUAGCCCGCGAUGGGCCUGACAGUGCGCAGUACCAAGGUGACUACGAGAGGAUGCUGGAUGCCCUGGGGUCUGAGAACAACGAGGGCAUCCUCCAGAGCAUCCUGGCUGCCACCCCAUGUCUUCAGGAACGUCUGGGUAAGCAAACGUUCCUAGCGGCUCACCUGUAGGUCAUUGGCUAGUAGCGCACCUUGCGCUCGCUGACUUGAGCUGGUCCUGUUAGAGUAACUGUACGUGUUCAUAUCUUUCUAUAAAGUCUGUUCAUGCAUAUUAACCCAGACCAUGGAGUCUCCUAACUCCUCCUGGAAACUCCCCGGGGAACCUGCCGGAUGAACAAGCUCGGAGGAAGGAGGAGGGUCGGGCGUGGGGCUAGCAACCCCACCCUGUAAAACAACCCCUGCUACAGAAACCGCACGGAGUCUCAUCACUUAAUCAGCUCUUCAAACUGCUUAAUGUCACAAACGAGAUUAGUUGUCAAAGGUCAUUAUACAAGAACUGAUCCCUACAUGGUUCUAUUACCCAGCACAUUUCCUGUAUUUUCCAUUGGCUAUAACUAUAUAACUGUACAUAUAUAAAUAUGAUUAUAUGUGUCAGAAAAGCAGCUUCAGCCUUUGCUUCUGCUGCGAUUUUAUCGCAAUGUGUUAUUUUACCUUCACACUCUUUUCUUCUGAUGUAUCGUUUGAUCUCACCGCCUCAGAUUUUCUCGCGGCUUUCACUUCAAAAGUGGACACAGCGAUGUAGUCUACCCACAGGUACGGUGCCAGUGAGAGAAUCCACUUUUAGUUUUGAAAACUAGUGUUGUGAAUAGCUUCCCACAUUGCUACAUUCAUUCACUCACUCACCACCUCAACCCUCUUCCCCCAAAUAAUGAAGUACAUUAAGUAGAAACAACUCCUACCUACUGUCAGGU